AGAGACAGCAGCAGCCGCGGGAAUACAGAGGGUGCGAGCGUUAAUCGGAUUUACUGGGCGUAAAGCGUGCGUAGGCGGCUUCUUAAGUCGGAUGUGAAAUCCCUGAGCUUAACUUAGGAAUUGCAUUCGAUACUGGGAAGCUAGAGUAUGGGAGAGGAUGGUAGAAUUCCAGGUGUAGCGGUGAAAUGCGUAGAGAUCUGGAGGAAUACCGAUGGCGAAGGCAGCCAUCUGGCCUAAUACUGACGCUGAGGUACGAAAGCAUGGGGAGCAAACAGGAUUAGAUACCCGAGUAGUCCCUGUCUCUUAUAA
rnacentral:rRNA from 1 species